CCACAUUGUUACAUUGUAAACUCUUAGCAAAAUAAACAGGUUUGUAUCUAGGCAUUAUGUCAAAGAAUUUUACAAGUCAUUAAAGUUGUCAAAGGGGGUGUUAAUUAACUUCUCCCUGAGGAGGAAUAAACUGGACUUGAAGAAGAGCUACUGGAUUGUGUUCAAAGCCAGUGAACAAAGAGUGGACAUCCUCCCAGGGACGUUCGGAAGGCUUGCCGGCUGUUGUUGCUGGAAUCUUACCCAUAUGUCGGUCCAGAGAGACGGCUGCCCCAAGGCAGAGUGACUAACUCAUCUGCAGCUAAUUCAGUGAGCAUCAGCCCCAGAGGAGCAGUGCGUGGAGUCUGAGCUCCUUAGUCGUGCCUGAGUCUGGGUUUGUGCCCCUCACCAUGUCUUGACAUUUACUCCUUCAGUGAGAAGAGAGUGGGUGACCAGCUGCUUGAGAUGCUGGAGGGCCCAAGGACCUUUGGGACAUACUCUUUGCCCCCAGGUAGCUGAAGGAUUUGUAAAAGAAACAGAGACAAAAACCCAGAUAUGGGAGCAACGGCAACACUGGAGACAGAUGCCCCAGCUCAACACUGGAGAUGUCUGAAUCCAGUGAGUCGAGGACAGACCACGGGACCAAGGACAAGACUCAGCCUCCUUGGACGUGCAUGGUCCAGUGUUACCUACGAGAGCAACUCAGAGCCAUUCUCAGUGACCAGGGAUGAGGCAAUGUUUCCCAAAGUGUGGUCCCAGGAUCACCAGGAGAGAAACCCUGGGGCUUUGAACUGGACGCUGCCGGGAGCCCCCUUCACAAGACACACUCUCUCCUGCUGACCAGCUUGGACCUGCUGGAAAACCUCUUGCCUGACCUCCGCGACCUGCCGUCCUCCUUACAGCACCUUCCCGGGAAGCCUCCUGAGCCUCCUCAGGGGCCAGCACCUGCCUAGGAUGAGGAGGCAAUUUCAGUUUACCUGGCCACUUCUCCCACCUCGGCUGUGGACACCGCCGUGGGCCACAGGGGAGGCUGGGCCCCUGCUGCAUGCUGUUGGGUGAGCCUGGGCCCUAACCUUCGGGCUUCCCCACCUCUGGUGCUCUCCUGACUUUUAUUUCCAACAAAAAUCAUCAGUUCUCUGUUGAGGCUGCCCAGCCCCAUGAGGGGUGCAGGGGACGGGGAAGCCUCUCCUCUCUGAGGGGUGUUAUGAGCUGAGCUGGGUCCUCCUCAUGUCCAUAUGUUGGAGCUCCAACCCCCAGAACCUCACAAUAUGAGUGCAUUAGGAGCUGGGGUCUUAGAGAGCUAAGUGGGUUAAAACUGGGCCAUCAAUGUGAGCUCUAUCCAAUGCGACGGGUGUCCUUAGGAGCAGAGGACACUAGGGCCAGGCACACACAGAGGGACAACAUGUGAAGACACAGGGAGAAGAUGGCAUCUACAGGCCAAGGAGGGAGGCCACAGAAGGAACCGGCCCUGAGGAUACCUUGACCUUGACCUUGGACUUCCAACCUCCACAACUAUGGAGCUGAAUUUCUGAUGCUUAAGCCGCUCAGCUGGGGUCCUUCAUCCCUAGCGAAUGAUACAAGGAACUUAGAAUUCCAAGAUGGAAGAAGCCCAAAGCCUGUUGAACCUAGCCACCAUGGACAAGGGCACUGUCACCUCCGCCUGCUGGGAAAGACAGGAAGGAAGGACCACGGAGGGUGCCACCGUCAGGGGUUAGGAGGAGCUGGCGUGGCUGAGCUGAAAGUGCCUUGAGUUCAGGACUGGGAGGGCCCCUUGUGUCCUCCCUAGUUGGAAGAAUGAGGAAACGCGCCCAGAGAGGAGGAAGGACCUGCCCAGGUCUGAUCCUAAAGGAGGAAAGCUCCAGCCCCGCCCCGCCCCGCCAUCCUGGGGUUGUCAGUUUCAAUGAUUAACCACUCAUUAGGUGCUCGGGGAUCUGGCCUUGAGGAACCGCAGUUUUGAGGAGGAAGGCGUCUGGCCACUGGGGCGGGAAAAACAGCUGCUGUGAUUUCACAUCUGUAUUUGCAGAGAUUCUUCCUCUAACCCCGCCCCCCCCCCAUGCUCAGGCAACAAAGAGCUUCCCUUGCAAUGCCCUGGAUCUGGGGUGGAGUAGAGAACAAAGGGGACCCUGGACACUAUCUGGGGGCAGGAGAGAAUGAGGUCCCCUGGGGGCUGACCCUUGAGCUGGUGUAGCCACAAGGACCCAGAAGGGAGGCAGGCAAGGUCCCAUCCUCUCUCUGCCAGUUGCCCCUGUAUUAGACAACUUCCUGCUGCUAUACUGAAAUACUCAAGGCUGGGUAAUGUUGUAAAGAAAAGAAAUUAUAGCUCACAGUUCUGGAGGUUAAGGGCAUAGCACCUGCAUCAGCAGACUUUAGCUCAUAUCUUUCCUCAGGUGCUUCUUUGGAUCAGUAUCUCUUGGCAUGAACAAUGAUCUCUGUGAUUCGCUUGUACAUGUCUUUGGCCCAGGUGGGCCUUGAAUGGCUUUUCCUUUUAUCUGACUGAUGGUGAAAGAUCCCUUUGUAAUUAAAAGUAUUUAAAUCUGUCCCUUACAAAAAGAAAAGAAGAAGAAGAAGAAGAAGAAGAAGAAGAAGAAGAAGAAGAAGAAGAAGAAGAAGAAACAGAGACAUACAUGCAGUAUUAUGAUGUGAUCUCUGAGGUGAUAAAGUGAUAAAUGAGAACUUUGAUGUCCAGAGGGGAGAUUGCUUAAGAGCAGCUUUUUAAGUAUGGUCAUGAUGUUACAGGCUACAUAUGUGACAGUAGUCCCAUAAAAUUAUAAUGGAACUAAAAAAUUCUUACCCCUAGUGAUUUAGCCAUCUUAAUGUCACAGCACACUUAUGUAUUUGUGGUGAUGCUGGUAUAAAUAAAGCUUUGUCACUGCCAAGAAUAUACAAGUAUAUACAUACAGUUGUGUAUAGUAAUGUAUCAAGUAUAAUAUAUAGGAAUACAUCAAGUAUAAUACUUAAUAAUGAUAAUAAAAAAUUGUUAAUCAUUUGGUCUAAACUAAUAGAAGGAAAUACAUUAUUUGACUAUUGAAGAAAUUAUUAUUGUCAACAGUUUGGUAUGUAUAUUUUUAGUCUUUAUUCUAUCUCAUUACUUAGAUAUUAUAGGUCUGUUUUAAAAAUAAAAUUGGAAUUACAUUAUAUUUUAUUAUUGUCUUUUUUCUUAGGUAGGGAGAACAUAUAUCUCCAUUAAUAAAUAUCCUUCUAAUAUUUCUUAAUGACUGUGUUUUAUUGCUAAAUGUCCAAUUGGCUAUUUAAAUUGUUUCUAAUAUUUCCCACUAUAUAGACUGUAGUAAUAUAAACAUCUUUUUAGCCAAAUUUUGGUGCACAUCCAUCAUUAUUUCCUGAGGGUAAAAUCCUAAAUGUAAA